AUUGAACGCUGGCGGAAUGCUUUACACAUGCAAGUCGAGCGGCAGCACGGGGGCAACCCUGGUGGCGAGCGGCGAACGGGUGAGUAAUACAUCGGAACAUGCCCAGUCGUGGGGGAUAACACUUCGAAAGAAGUGCUAAUACCGCAUACGUCCUGAGGGAGAAAGCGGGGGAUCUUCGGACCUCGCGCGAUUGGAGUGGCCGAUGUCAGAUUAGCUAGUUGGUGGGGUAAAGGCCUACCAAGGCAACGAUCUGUAGCUGGUCUGAGAGGAUGAGCGGCCACACUGGGACUGAGACACGGCCCAGACUCCUACGGGAGGCAGCAGUGGGGAAUUUUGGACAAUGGGGGCAACCCUGAUCCAGCCAUUCCGCGUGAGUGAAGAAGGCCUUCGGGUUGUAAAGCUCUUUCGGCAGGAACGAAACGGCGAGCUCUAACAUAGCUUGCUAAUGACGGUACCUGAAGAAGAAGCACCGGCUAACUACGUGCCAGCAGCCGCCGUAAGAC
rnacentral:rRNA from 1 species